GAAACGCGAUAUGUAAUGUGAAUUGCAGAAUUCAGUGAAUCAUCGAAUCUUUGAACGCACAUGGCGCCUUCCAGUAUCCUGGGAGGCAUGCCUGUCCGAGCGUCGUUUCAACCCUCGAGCCCCUGUGGCCCGGCGUUGGGGAUCUGCCACGGCAGGCCCCUAAAACCAGUGGCGGACCCGAAGGCCCUCUCCUUUGCGCAGUAGCAUCAGCCUCGCAUUGGGAUCCCUCGGCGUCCUGCCUCUAAACCCCCCACAAGUCCGCUCCGGCGGCACCAAGGUUGACCUCGGAUCAGGUAGGAAUACCCGCUGAACUUAA
rnacentral:misc_RNA from 1 species